GGCAGCCUAUACGGACCACAUCUUCUGUGUGAAUAUGGUUGGAGUAGAAGAAUUCGUACACAAAACGAGCUCGUAAUCGUUGGAUCGAAAUCGAGGCGAAUUAGGAGCGAGAAUCGUACGUUUGGAGCCAACUUCGACAGAAACAGAAACUUGGUACGCGAGUCGUUUGCGAGGAAAACCACAAAUCAGCAAAGCGUUCCUUCCAAGUGCGCGGUUUUAUCUUGCAGCGGCUGCAGCUUCAUUUUGCCGUAUUUUUUUCUUCGAGUUUCUGAUGGCCUCAGUAUAGUUUCGGUCGCUUUUUUUUUUCUUAUACGUGCGGUUCGACCGAAGAAAGCCCGAGAGACCAAUUGCAAGGCGAGGUGUAGUGUGUGUAUUUGUAUAUGUACUUUUUGCAAAAGGUGAAAGAUUAAAUGAAUUUGCAUCUUACGAAACUGGAGAACGGCCAGAGCGAAGAAGUUUGGUACAUCUGUUUAUUGGAAGAUUGUUCAACGAGAGACUUGAUCGUAUCUGACUAUGCAUUUCCGGCUGACCCCUGGAAGUUGUUCGACAAGGAAAAGUGUAAAGUUUGCAACAAUUGAAACGCAGCUUCCUGUAUCAAAGUGCAAAAAUUUGUCCGAGUCUUCUGUUACAUUGACGGAAAAGCGAAGAACAUCCAGCAACUGUAUAUCGUAGCAUAACUGUUUCUCGGUAUGCCCAGGAGCAUCGAUUUGGCUUCAACCUAAAAGUAGUGAACUGUUCAGUGCAAGUUCUGUUAGAAAAGUGCACGUGCUUUCCAGCCAUCCUCACGUAAAAAAAAGGUCACGUUUAACCACAAGAACGGUAGCGCAGCUCGCAUCUUGAUUCCGUGGACACGUUUAUUUUCUUCUUUGUUCAUAUAUUUGCGCUCUUUCAUUUAAUUCCUCCGACCAAUUUGACUUGCUGAGUUCCGGCGAACCUUGGUAGUGAAGUUGGCGAGCAAAGUUGGAAGAAAGCAGCUGAAAAUCGCACGAUGUGCAGCCGGUUGGAACGGCGCAUUCGAGGUUAACGAAACUCCAUGUGAAGAUUGCAGUCUGAUAGUUUAGUUUGUGUGGAACAAGCAGAAUAAAGAAUCUACUGGUCGCAAGAGAGCAUAUAUUUGCGGAUCUGAACAAAUCUAAAUAUAAAAGAAUUGAACGGAAAGGAAGUAAAAAAGGUGCAACGGUGCUAAUUACAAAGUUAAGUUUUUUUUUCUUCUCUCUGUUUGGUUUGUGAUGGUGAACUUGCCGGUUGUUUGGCGGUGAAGUUUCGGCUCUUCGGAGAUUGUUUUGUCUUGUCUUUGGUUGCAGAGCGUGGCAGAUUCGAUAACAGACUGAAAUCGAAACGCGAGAGACGGAAGCAUCAAUCAAACAAGAUCGAUGCACAUAACCGGAGAACGGUGCUCUCACCCAAUAAAAGAAUUCAAAAUAUAAAACUGCAAUCGAAGUUGAGUGACACUGGCCGUAUUGACAGACUGUUGUGUUAAAACGGAGCACACACACACACACACACGAAAACCCGGCAAACCAGUUCGAGACGACUCCAAACCAGACCCCAUUCCAUAAGGGUGUCAAUACCGGGCACCCAACAACAACACAACCAACUACGGCGGUGGACUUAUCUGGCAAACGACAGACGAAAUAAUGGAAGUGGCCGCAACAACAUCUUCAACUGGAUCAACCCCGGUAGCCAGGGCAUUACGCGGUCCAUUUCAAAGGGAGGUCCGCGAGUGGCAGCAUGUUGAUCCUAAUACGGGAGCGUUGCUGACGGGCCGGCUCGAAGCGGACCGCUGGGUCAACGGCCCUUUGAACACCUAUGGAAAGAUGGUCUCACACAACCUGUCCACCCCGGACGGCAGCACCCAGCACACACAGAAGAAACAGAUGGAAAUUCUGCAGGCACGAACCGUGUCUGGUUCACUUCAGGUGGUCCGCGCCCAAACCGUACAGACAACCUCGUCACGCUGGUCCUCCUCCACACUGCAUUCCGAGAUCUGCAACGGCAUUAGCACCAGCCACAGCAGCACCAGCGGUAGCAGCUAUAAUGGUCACAGCCAUUCGACAACCUCCAAUGCCACCAGCCACCAUGGGACAAGUUCAUUCGCCACUAAUGGAUUCUCGAGUCAUCACCUGCAGCAACAACAACAGCAACAGAUUCGCAGACCCCUCAUAAAUUCAAGUAGAUUAUUGGGUCCCCCACCAGCAACCAGCGGCAACAUCCUACACAGCAAUUCCCAUGGCAGUUCUCAACUGCUGAUCCCUCCGCCGCUGACCGGUGAGGAGUAUUUUGUCAACAGCGAUCAGGCGAUCAAGUCGUCGUCGUCAUCAACCGCAUCAUCGGCGCUGCUGAAUGGGCAUACCGCAGCUUUUGGCAGCGAACACUCCCGCGGUCUCCAAAGCGUGGGAUUGAUUCGCAAUGGCAGCAAUGGAGACGACAGCCGCAGCCGACACCGACAGCAUCUGGAUUGGUUUGACAAAUUCAAAGAUAUCAGCGUGAAGGAGGAACCAACCGACGCGGAUAGUUUUCUGAACCGUGGCAAGAGCAUCUCUAUCGAGGACCUAACCACCGAACGAGACGAGGCGAACUUUGAUGACGACGUCGAGCCCACGCAGUGGAAGCGAGUCAGCAAGAUCCGGCGAUCACUGCAGUUUCCAAGGAAAACGGCCCCGAAGGUUAGCACGCGACCGGCAGACUUACCGGAGAAUUCCGUCAGUGUGUCAAAAAUUCGACAGGAGCUGGAAAACGGACGACGGUUGAACACAGCCAUGCGGAAUAAUCACAUCGACUUCGUCGCGCUGGAUAAUAUUCUCAAGAGCGUAUCGGAUAGUUCCGUAUCGAAAACGGACACAUCUCGAACUCCAACAACGCCCAAAACGACCUCAACUUUUCUCACGGCGGAGUCACUCAAAGAAAUUCGUGGAAAACUAAGAAGACUGAGCAAUGAGUCGCUGUAUCGUGACGAUAUGAGUCCGGGUGCGGACCGCAAGGGAGAGGAUGACUCGGUUACAAUAACUGAGGUUGAAACCAGGCUGGGACAGUUACAAACUAGUAGUUCAUCCGAUUCUUACAAAAGCAAUAGCCUGGAAUCGAAUCGCCGGGGAUCCAUCGAUAGCAACACUGACGAGUGGCACUCGAGGAGAAAAUCGUAUGGUUUCGAAAAAAUGAAUCAACCAUCCGGCUUCAUGGCCAAAAUGGACUCGUCGACCGAUAGUGGAAUUGGUCGCUCAACUGAUUUGUGCUCGAGCUGGUCCAGCGGUGGAGCGGACAGCGUGGCCGCUACGAGAAGUACUAUCGUAACGUUGGGUGAACUUAAGGAGACGCCAACAAAUUCUGCAAUGGUGAUUAAAAUUACGAACGAAGGACAAGGAGACACCAAAUUGAGUCAGCGAGAGGAGGAAGCUAAGCGGCAUUCGAUAGCAGUGGAUGAAACAAGUUACGUUCGGGACAGCCUGAAGACGAUGUUCGAGAAGAAGACUUCGGUCAGUGUGAACGGGUUCAGCCAUACGUUCAUCGAUGAUUUGAAUAAAAACAAGAAAAAGGUCGAGUUUUGCAAAACGGAAGUUCACUUUACCGCCGAUUCGGGUCGCGUUAACAUUGUUGAAACCGAUGAGAAGCCACCUCCGACGAACAAUUUCCGAAGGCGUCGUCGGACUUCCAGUGGAGCGAUUGGAUCUUCGUUUCUUCAGGCGAUCAGCUCGGGUGUUCCUGUGACACACUUUGGCGAUUUGGAGAAGGAAGUGUUUGAGUCGGAUCUGAAGGAAAAUCCUGUAUAUACAGCUCCAUCGGUUGUGACAACCACAGUCGGUAGACCGGAACCUAGUCCACGCAAAACGAUUGCCGCCUCGGAUGAGAGUGACAGCCACUCGGCGGAUGAGAUAUCGCUCAGAGGGAUUUUGAAAAACAAACCGAUCAAACCGAAGCCGUACGUGUUGGGGGAGAAUAUGGAGAACAGGGAAAGUUUAUGGGGUGUCAAAUUGCGACCGGUGUCAACUGAACUGACUUACUGGAAUGGGCAGUCGGAUGAGAAGCCACAAACAGCAGAGGAUAUAGACACCGAGACGGCAUCCGGCGGAGCAUUCUCCACCAAAAUCAAACUGACCCAGACUGGCCCGAUGGCUUGGAAAUCCGAUGAAUCGUCAGAGUCCCAUACAAAAUCAACCACUAAGAUCCUCAUCGAUAUGACAAGUAACUGUGAUCCUUCCGCACAUGUUACCGCGGAACGUAACCCACUGAAAUCAACUUCGUUGAUCAUGCGCACAAUGCGUUCCGCCAAUCAAUUCGACGAAGCGAUGAAGAGUCUCGAGGCUGCCCGCAGAGAUUCAUUGGAUAGUGAUGCCGGCGAGGGAAGGCCUUCGGCCUUCCAGCUGAUCUCGAGCACCGUUGCUAAGUCGAGCUCUACCAGUAGCAUCUACAAGGAACCACCGCGAAUGAAGGUGGCGAAAUAUGCGGCCUCCCUCGAUGGAGAUAUUGACGACGACAAGCCUAGUUACCGCAUGCUUGGUGCUACGACCAGGCGGAGUUUCACAAACGAAUCACGGCUAUCUGACUUUGAAGCCUAUAUCAGCAAAAACAGCAUCCGCCGGUCCAGCGCAGAUGAGUUCUCGUCAGUUAGUAUGGUAUCGAGCGUGUCCGCCAAGCCGGUAGCGGCGCCCAGAAUGAAAAAGCUUGGAACCAGUGCACUGAGCCAUCAGUUAACCCAGCUGAAGAGGCUUUACGAUGCAGCCGAGCAGUAUGAUAGCGAUGACAGCGCCAAGGCUGACGAAGAGGUCAAGCUGUACUUGGGUAACUUGGCUAGCGGCAGCGAAGAGAGAGGAGGAGGUGGAAGCGAACUAUCCGGAAGUUGGAGUCGCAUCAAAGCGAAACGAAACGUUCAAAAGUAUAGGGAUCAGGAUGCGAAAAUCACUAUCAAUUCAACGUCCGAGUUUGAGAUCGUUAAGCCAAAACAUAACGGAUCUACCACUACCACGAUUAUCAACGAUGAGCAACAGAUGAGCAGCAAUUUAAUGUCCAUAGCUCUGAAAAGUCCAACGCCAAUCAAGAAACGACUUACGCCUAGUCCAGUAAAAGUAACACCGCCGCAUCCGAACGAAACACAGAAAAUGAAACAGCAGCAGUCGCAGCCACUGUCGCCAGUUUUCAAGCGACACAUUCCGACUGCUGUUAGCGAAACGAACGGCACAGCACGAAACGAAGAACGGGCAUCACUUCGGCUGUCGUCGGGUGCACGACAACUUCGCGAACAUGAACUGUCAUUCUUCGGUGUCACUCCGAACAAUCAGCGAGAACGAGCAACGAAUCCACCAUCGACAACUGCUUCGUCGAUCUCUGCCAAGUCCACCAUCACCACCACGAACCCUUCCUCCUUCAAGCGAUCCACCACACUAACGUCGUCCUUCAUCAAACGCAACUCGAUUAACAUGAAUCCUACAGCUACGACAACGACUUCCGGUAACGGUAAUGUGAACCAAGCCAAGCCGCAUGCGGCGACUUCGUGGCAGCUAACGAACGAUAAGCCAGACUUGCUUCGGCACAGCCAACGAGCAGAUAGUGCUGGGGUUCAGAAGACCACAAGCACCUCUUCAGCGUCCACAUCCACGCUGUCAACUAGCACUUCGACGAUGUCCUCCGUGGAGCCACACUACGAAAAUCUAGUCAAAUCGAUUAACGAACCACCGACCGUAUCUUAUGACCGUAGGCAUGAUCUAAAGCGGGACGAGCAAAUUCUGGAGGAGCUAACGCGCGCAGCUGAUGAGAUUUUGAAUGUUGUUAACAACAUGUCGAAUGCUGAAAGCACCGAAAGCAUCCUCAACGAAUUCCAAAACUCAAACAGUGGCUGCACCCUGGGGACGAUUCGGGAGUGUUCAACGACCAACAAAAUUAUGAAAUCACGAGGUGUCCAGGUUUCGAAGAAUUUGGAUGAUAGUCUAAAGCGACAUCAACGAUCUGCUAGGGUGUCCUCUGCAUCGUCCAACGAAAGCCUGUCGCGACCAUCGGCAGCUGCUGCUCAUGCCUCCGCCCGUUCUGUUCAGCCUACGGAAUCCCGCAACGGUAGUGCUCGACGCAAACUCACCAGUUCAUCGUCCGAAUCACGUCGCUUGAUUCGCAUGUGCAGCAAAGAGCGUCUCCAUCAAUCCAAUGCCAGUUCAUCGGAAGACCUGGCUACUAGUGCGGUUGUGGAGCCACCCCGUCGUCCACGUCGUACCAGACACCACGCGAGUGAGAAGGAAACGGAUCCACCCAAUCGAAAUGGUGGUAUAUCUAGAAGCACAGUGUCUAGCAGCCGUCGAGCCGAUGAACGAACGCUCUCGAGUCGAUCACACCGUAGCGAAAGAUCAUCAACGCGAACAAGCAAAGGCAACCCUAGCGGCACUAUCACCUCGUCGAGUGUCAUCCAAGCGUCGUCCCCAGAUCAGCCACAACAGCAGCAGCAGCACCAUCGUAUCCGCAGCAAGUCCGGCACUUCCGUCCUGACAACAACGUAUGUAUUACAAUCGUUUAUUGUACCACCGCCUCGCCAUCGCCGACGGCGCCAUCAAACCUCGAAAGCCAUUGUACGCCGGCAUUCCUCACGCUUACGAUCCUCCUCUGCCACUCGCGCUGCCACUGCCGAAGUAACCAAAACGCUUAAACGAGGACGCCAGCUAGAGUUGUGCAUUUGCUCCUAGCUAUGAAGUGCACACGCGCGUGGGCGGAUGCACUCCUCUUGUGGUUAUGGUGGAUUGUGGUAGCUCCUGUCCAAAAUAUAAACAUGAGUGGAUCGCCGAGAAAACAUCACCGGUGAGACACGCCCAAGAGUACGCCGCCGACAGGAGAGAGGGAGAUAGACCGGAGACGAUUCGGAUCUUCGCGGCGUCAUAUUACAAAAAAAAAAUCCGUGAUCAGUUGAUGUACUGUACGAUUAGAAAAGUUUACUUAUCCCCAAACACAAAUUAUUAUAUUAGGCCUCCAAACUAACACGGAUCUCGAAGAAAGCAUCUUUUCUAUGUAAUCUCGAAUGCAUGAAAGCGCUUGUAAAGUUGUCCAAAAUGCGAAUCUUAGCAAGUAAAUAAUAAUAUAUUAUGUGGUAGGAGAUAAUGAGCCCUACGAGAUGACUACGAGCCGUAUCGCCCUGCAGAACGCAAAACGCCAGCAUUCUUGAAUAGAAACUAUUUAUAUAGCAACAUUAAGCUUGUUCCUAUUAUGGUUUGAUUCUAAUCGCAUACAUUCUAAUAGAAAUUACUACUUAAUCGUAUUGAACCACGGCAGUGCCGGUCGGCCGAUAAGUGAACGCCCUCGAUUGCAUCUCCGGAAAUCGGCACGUUGCACAGUGGGCCAUUCUGUAAAAAAACGGUCAAAAAUCUUUUCUCGUCCUAUCUUACAUUUUAGAAGUUGGGUGUCUUCAAGAAAGUUUUUCCGAUUGUUGAUCCGGAUAGUUUGACAUUUUCAUUAAAACUCUUACUAAGUUACAACAAAAAUAAAAAAAAACUAACUUUUUAUAUAUACGAGGUAAUUGAGUUGUGUCUUCAGCAAAAUUGCAAAGCAUUCAAUUUCGUUAAACUCCGCUGAAGAUACAUAAUAUCUAUCAGUCCUUCAGUGAUAUAGAUGUUUUCCUGAGAAGAGUAUCCUAAAAUUAAUUGUUGAACUUACUUUACAUUCACUCAACAUGUUCCACAAACUUUCAGAUGACAAUAAAAAACUUUGCUGAAGACUAGUAGUUUUUAAUGACACAUCGAUGUACAGUGAUUACAAAUCAAAAAUAUGUCACUUUCACUUACCAUAUUAUUCAAAAACGUGCACGUCUGUGCAUCAAUACUGAACUUCAUUUGUAUCUUGUGGGUUUGGAGUAUACAGCACACCACUUUUCGAACUCGGGACAUUUCGGGAACAUCACUUUUCAUGCCAAUUAUUACAGCCCUGUUUACUCCAUAUUAUAACCUUUUUACUUCGUACUUCAUCCAAUGUUGAUGUUUAUUUACAAUAUAUUCAUUUACUAUUCGUUUUCUGUUCUUAGUUUGCUGUCAGAGUUGAAAUUUGAAGAUUCAGAACGAGUAUUUUACCGAUAUAUUAACAUAAAAUGCUGCCUCAAUAUUUGGGUAAACCAAUUGAAGGAGGAAGUGAUGUUCAUAGAUACAAUACUACAAUACUGGUCAAAUCCGGCCAGAAGUUCGUCGAACCAUCAUGAGCCUUCAGGAGAGGAAGGAAUCGCUUUUAGAGAUACUUUUACAAAUACACCUGUCCAUUCAUGGUGCUUGCGGUAACGAAAAGUGUACUCCACUUUCCGCAAGUACAAAUCGCUUGCCAUAUUGAGAAUUUCUUGGUGAACUUCGACAUCUUCUGUGUCCGAAGGAUCUCUGGAACAUCCAACUUCUCCUUGGCAGUCACAUACAGGUUUUCUUGAAUCUGGAUGAAGUCCCCCUUCACAUAAGAAGCGUAUCGGAAAGUAGUCUUGAACUUUGAAACAUCAAAAUAAAACUGCAACGUACAACAUUCAGAAAGUGUUUACAAAAGUGAAUUUUAUUAAAGAAUAUUAAGUUUACAUAGCAAUGGAAUGAAAAAAAUCAAGCUUUUUGUUGAUUUCUAAAAAAUAAUCGAACCAUAGAUUUAACUCCACUCAUCAAAUUCUGCACAGUAGUCUUUGUGCACUUUAUGGACGCCGCAGACCAAUUCUUCUUGACCUCGGACAUGUUUUUAGACACUGUAGCUUUCUUCUUGAAUCUGGCCUUGACAAUCGCCCAGUAACGUUCAAUCGGCCGCAACGGGGAAGGGUUUGGUGGGUUAGGUCUUUUUCGAUGAACAUAAUUUUGUUUUUCGAAAACAAUUGUGGAGUGGAUUUGGCAUAAUGUGUUGAUGCCAAAUCCAGAUAGAAUAGAGGAUGAACCUCGUGCUUUCUAUAAAGUGGAAGAAAUCUCUUCUUCAAGCAUUCUUCUACAUAAAUUUGAGCAUUUAUAGUCUCUUUUGUGAAAAAAGUUGACGAUCGCAUGCCACACGUGCAAAUGGCUUGCCAAACGAGCAAUUUUCAGCCGAAUUUUUCCAUCGCAAAAGAUGUGUCCGCAAAUGGUACACUUAUUCCAAUCGAUUUGGUAUAAAAUUGAGGUCCCGGCAGCUUUCUGGAAUCUUCUUUGACGUAUGUUUUGUCGUCCAUGAGAAUGCACUGGUUGGGAUUGUUCAAAAUACGCUCAUAUAGCUUUCGAACUCGUGUUUUAGCGUGAUCUUAACUCCGGUGUUUGUUUGGCCACAUUUUGCAUUUUAUAGGUCUUUAAACCAUGUCUCUGUUUAAUCCUCUGAAUCAUCCCAACACUGGUUUCGAACUUCUUGGCCAAAUCACGAAAAGAUGCAGACCUGUUCUUCUGCAUAUAAUUUACAUUUUUUCGGUUCAUUUCGGAAUUACUUGCUCCGGUUUUUCGUCCACUUCUUCUGAGAUCCUCGAAAGAACACUCAUUACCGAACUUUGCGACGAUUCGUUAGACACUUUCUGGACAAACUUUGAUUUUUUUUUUGCUAUUUUGUGGUAUGUAACACCCUUUUCGGUGCACCAAUUGUGCAGAAUUUUCUUUUUAGUUUCCAAAUCAAUCUGUGACAUUUGGAAAACAACUUUAUGACCGCGACUAAAUGACUUGUAUUUCGAUUUAUGACAUCGUGCUCUGCUCUGAUUACACGACAAAAAAAAGUUCAUCCGUUUGUGUGUAAUAACGUGUUAAAUGUUUGAUACUACUUUUCGAUACACUGCUUUUGUCUCGUCAUCCAUUACGCAGCAGUGUGGUUUCGUUAUCUUCUGGUCGUACAUCUACCAGGUACGGCUUUUUGUGACCGUAUUCUGUUUCUCGUCACGAUUUGAAGACUUUGGAAUCAUAAACGUGCGUAGUCCAACUCGAGUUUUCAUAUUCUGCAAGAAAGGCUUGCUCACACGCAACUUUUUAGCCACAUCUCUGAGAAACUGAGGCGUUCGGUUUUCGUUUAAACGCGUUUGUGAUCGUUCUCGUUGACCUGACAGUUAUUUUUUCCGGAUCUUAGCUUCCGAUCAACAGUCAAACUUUCUUCGAACCGUUUUAUGAUACCAGACACCGUGGAAAUUCUCAAUUCCCAACUUUUUUCCGAUGGCACGAUGCGACAGAUUCUUACUUUCGAAGUACUCGUGCAGAACUUUUCCGCGCACGCUCUGUUCUGUUCUUUCGAUCUUCUGAUUAGCAGCUCGCGAAAGCAAAAAUCAAAGAAAAUCAAAUUUAUUUCAUCAACUGCAGUGAAACUUUUGCAAAAUAUCUCAAAUUUGAACUCUAUUAGCAAACUAGAAACAGAAAUCGAAUAGUAAAUUAAUAUAUUGUAAAAAAAAUUAACAUUGGAAGAGGUAUGAAGUAAAAGGUAUGAAACCGAACCAAGAAACUUAAAUUUGGAGAUAUACGAGACGAGACGAGAAGACGAGCGCUCGUCUCGUUUGAUUUAAAACUUUUCUUGAUAAAUCGUGAACAAGCAUUGCCCCCAACAAAUCCAUAAUAACAAAACGUCUGAGUGAUGAAACCAUAUGCUGGUAGAAAAGAUAUAAUUGAAACCAAAAGAUAUAUGAAACUCAUUUCGUUUUGUUAUGAUUUUAGUAUUUCGACACUGAGAAAAGUGUCUGGAUUGAUCAAUUUUGAAAAUGUUUGUUAUUUUUAUCAAAAUAAAAACAUGUUUUCACAUCUGACACCACUGAUCAUACCGAGAAACAGUGACAGAAGUCUCUCCAGACUUCCAAAUAAAACAUUUCAAUAAAACUCGUGUACUGAAAUAGGAUAUUUUGCUCGUCCCGUCUGAACUGAAGCCGAGACGAGACGAGACAAAUUGCUUGUCUCGUUUUCUGAAAUAGGGCCCAUAAUAAUAUCAGAUGAACCGAACAUGAAAUCGCAUGGGUCUCGGCUUAACAGCAGCAAAUUCUUCGAACACAUCAAAGUCAACAGUGUUAGUAAAUUUAUUUUCAAUUGACAACAGAGCCAAUGGAUUAAGGCAUAUCGCAAAUUACUCUUAACUUAUUUCAACUGUGAUAAGCCUCUUUCACACGCAAACGCAAAUUGUUGGUAACUGCUUCAAACUCACUGUAAGAUUUGCAAGCGUUUCUUAGAAAUCCUAUCAUCUAUGAGAAGAAACUGCGGAAAACGAGUAAACAGAUUCAACAGUUCAGAAAAAUGUCCCUCACUAUAGAUUCUCAUCAAAAGCAUGUUGUUCUAAGUUCUAAGAGUGGUCUGUAAACUUUGUAUACGUUUUUUUUUUUCUUUUGCUCUCCCAACAGAACCCGAAUUCCUCCAUUUGAUCCAGAUAUGGUUGAAGUGUUGUCCCCAUCCCUUGUCACGGUUGAAGUGUUGUCCCCUGUCACGGUCGCCAUGAGACGAAUUAACUCAUGGCGACCGUGACAGGGGAUGAGGCGAAGGGGAACUGUUUUCAACUCCAUGAGAUAACACGAGUCAUCAUGAGAUGGUUCGCUAGGUUUACUUUGACACUUAAAAAGAACCGCCAUCAAUGGCUUUCGGAUUUUUGGAGAGAAUCGACGUACUCCUUUUGUGUUUAAAACCCGACUGUAUUCAACUUACGAAUCAGCCCUUUUAUAACUGUAUAAUUUGCUACCCCUGAAUGUUUUUCGUUUAUUUUUCGUCAGCGUAAACUGUUUUGGUUCACACCAAGCACCGAGCGGGGUGAGUUUAUUUAUUGUUGUUGAUUUCUUGAAGGUCGUAUACUGGGGAAAAUGAAAUGUUGGGACUGCUGACGCUUCACUAUUAGCAUGCAGUCCGGGUGUUAUAAUAUUUGUUAGUUUGGGGGUCGUCAGCGGAAUUUUCAUGAAAGUUAUUACACGGAAAUUCCACGGUAAUUACGUCAAAGAUGGAAGCGUUUGGUAUGCGGAAAAAGUGUUUGUAAUUAUUUGGGAUGUAGGUGAUAAUGGGGAAUUGAGCUUGGGAUCGGAAUGGUUUCAAUGAGGAACGGAAUUUAAGAUACAUACAUUUACAUUGUGAACUUCAUGACACUUCAUGAAAUCUGUAGCUUAACUCUUCAUUUAAUGAAUUUAAUGACGUUACUCAAAAUAAGCAACCCGUUCCCCAUCCAAAACGAAAGAAAAACCAAGGAAGAUUGCUUUACAUGAACAUUUCAAUCGUGAAAUUCCUCAUCUAAACAAUACUGUAAGGCCUAUAUAAAAUGAACAAAGAAGAAUCACCAACAGUUGAAGUUCAUUCUAAUUUUUAAAAGAUUUUUUUUCGGAACAAUCUAAUUAUCAUAGUCGUAUUGAUAUAAUGUAAUUUAGGUAGAACAAAAGCUAAAAAAAACUAUUUUUAAGAUACUCUAUUUAGAAAAACUGUUUCCAACAAACAAUCAUUAGCUGUUAUUAAACUAGUCAGUUGAAGAAUGGUCGAACAAUAGUGUUGAUUGCUUAAUAAGACGAUAUGCUGUACUAUAUGUUGUAUAAAAAAUGACCAGAUUGAAGCUUUUGUUCAACGAUUCAUAUUUAGCUGGAUAAUACGCCAGUGAAUGAUUUUAAGGUUGCUUUAUUUGUUCAACAACUCUUGAAAAAACUGACACGAACCGAUCAUUAGCUGUAAUAAAACUAACCAGUUCAAUGAUGGUCGAGCAUUGAGCAUUGGGUGCUCAAUAAGACAAUAUGCUGAAUUAUACGUUGUAUAAAAGCUUAUUUGGACCAAAUUGAAGUUUUUGUUCAACUAUCGAUGUUUACCUGGGUAAUCUGCCAGAGAAACGAUUUGAAAACGUUUAUUCAUCUGCAAAGCAACUUUUGUACAACACAUGACAGACUACCAAAGUGAGCGUUUGCUGCCAGUGUUUUUAAGCUCAUAUUCGAUUGCUUGGCAUUACAUUUUUAAGUGUUCUAACGGAGCAAAUGAUUUGAUGGAGGAUUAUCGAUGCUAAGGUCGUAGGUUUGAAUCAUGGUCAUUUUGUUUUUGUGUUUGUUCAAAAGUUCAUCUGAAACUGAAUAAGUUUCAUCUAGUAGAUGUAAUAGACUCUAACAAGCGUCUGCCGAGGUGCUAAAAAACUAAUUCUAUUUACAGAAAUUCGGUAGAAGAAAAUAACGCAGUCAGACAAAGUUCUUCUUCGAUAUCGCAGUCUAAGUAGAGCUAAUCAAAUCAGAAUAUGGUGGAAAAGACAUUUCCACCACACCUUGGAACGUUUUCAAAUUGACUUUAAACUGCAUUUAACGAACAGUAUUGGAUAUAGCGUAAUAAAUUCUCCUCAUUUGCUUGAACAAGGCUUGAAUAGAGAAUUUGAUGACAAUUAGUUCAGGCAUUUUUAAGCAUACAGCUGAAUAAAACCAUUAUAAAAACGUCACACUGAUGGGGAAUUGUUAGUGUAACCCAAAUCUCUCAAUCUUUGAAGAUCCAAUAGAUAGAUAUUAGGUAUAUUCAGAAAAGUUUGUAGUCAACCCAACUAUUUCGUAAGUAUAAAAAAAUUUUAAAAAAAUUUUUAUUAUGACUUAGUAAAAGUUUAAAUGAAAAUGUCAAAUUAUCCGGAUCAAUAUUCUGAACAACUUUUCUAAAGACACCCAACCUCGAAAAUGUAAGGUAAGACGAGAAAAGAUUUUUGACCAUCUUUUCCCAAAACGGUCCCACUGUGGGUUGCUAUGAGUUCGCUAUGCUUCCGCGUAAUCUCAAACAGGGCGCUCACUUUCCGCAGCAUAUUAACGCGCUACUAAUGAAGCAGCUUUGAAGACAGAUGAAACGGAAAACGCCUCGAACUGGGUCGAGUGUGAUUGAUGAUAGGCUUACAGUUUUUCAGACAUAUUUUUGUUUUAUUAGCCACAACAGGGAGAAAUAGCACAGAUAAUUAUUACAUUUUGUUUUGCGGUACACACUCUACGGUACACGGUUUAACACAUUUUUUUCCUACAAUAAUUUACAAUAGUUUGGCAAACGAUAUUUAUACAGUUUACAGAAACAGAAACAAAAAAACAAUCAUUA